AUGAACGCUAGCGGGAGGCCUAACACAUGCAAGCCGAGCGGUAGAAAGUAGCUUGCUACUUUUGAGAGCGGCGUACGGGUGCGUAACACGUGUGCAACCUGCCUUUAUCUGGAGAAUAGCCUUUCGAAAGGAAGAUUAAUGCUCCAUAACAUAUUGAAUGGCAUCAUUUAAUAUUGAAAGCUUCGGCGGAUAGAGAUGGGCACGCGCAAGAUUAGUUAGUUGGUGAGGUAACGGCUCACCAAGGCGAUGAUCUUUAGGGGGCCUGAGAGGGUGAUCCCCCACACUGGUACUGAGACACGGACCAGACUCCUACGGGAGGCAGCAGUGAGGAAUAUUGGACAAUGGGUGAAAGCCUGAUCCAGCCAUCCCGCGUGAAGGAUGUCGGCCCUAUGGGUUGUAAACUUCUUUUGUAUAGGGAUAAACCUACCCUCGUGAGGGUAGCUGAAGGUACUAUACGAAUAAGCACCGGCUAACUCCGUGCCAGCAGCCGCGGUAAAAC
rnacentral:rRNA from 1 species